GGCUGGAUAGCUUAGUUGGUAGAGCAUGAGACUUUUAAUCUCAGGGUUGUGGGUUUGAGCCCCACAUUGGACG